rnacentral:misc_RNA from 1 species
UCCCGGUUAACCCGGGCAGUCUCAUUAGAGUUCCCACCUUAACGUGUUGGCAACUAAUGAUAAGGGUUGCGCUCGUUGCUGGACUUAACCAAACACCUCACGGCACGAGCUGACGACAGCCAUGCAGCACCUGUGCAGAAGUCCCUAAGGAAGAUCCUAUUUCUAGGACUGUCUUCUGCAUGUCAAGUCUGGGUAAGGUUCUUCGCGUUGCAUCGAAUUAAACCACAUGCUCCACUGCUUGUGCGGGUCCCCGUCAAUUCUUUUGAGUUUCAGCCUUGCGACUGUACUCCCCAGGCGGUAUACUUAACGCGUUUGCUACGGCACAACCGGGGUUGAGUCCAGUUACACCAAGUAUACAUCGUUUACGGCAAGGACUAC